rnacentral:lncRNA from 1 species
GAAUCUAUCGACCUUGAUAGAAGAGGAGAGAUCCUAUGUGAUUUAUUAGACUGAGUUCUAAGACCUUGGCCAGGGCAGUAAAUACAGUGGAGAAAGAGUUUUCCACUAUCGAACUCAAGUCGAAUAAAUCUAGACAUAUGACAGACGACGGGGUUUGACGAGUUAUCCAUGACCUCCGGUCUGUAGGGAUCCAUAAUAGAAGGAUUGUAUCAUACGAUAACUGCACCUAGAGGUUCAUCAUUCUAUUCUGCUGGGUGGCCACUACAUACUGCUAGGUGUCACUGGUGGAUGGUGAGACUCACAGGGAUCAUCUUGAUGGUCGAUAAAUCCUGAUGAGUUGAGUUGAAAUUGUUUCAACCCAUUGAAAAUUGAAAGGAGUUUUCAAUGAUAUUGUGAUAGAUAUCACAAUAUAUCUCAUUACCAGUCAGAAUGGAACCUAUGGGGUCACACACA